CGGUUUUUGGGCCGAUAUGGUGAUUCAUUGGUUGGCGUGGAGAGGCCUGGUACGAGUUGGACCUGCCUUGACAUCGGAUGCUUUGAUUGGCUAGUAAACAUUUGGCCGGGUUAUCUAAUUUUCCGAGUGAAGAAUCGUUGCUACAUAGAACC
rnacentral:pre_miRNA from 1 species